rnacentral:rRNA from 1 species
UACGUAGGGUGCAAGCGUUGUCCGGAAUUAUUGGGCGGAAAGAGCUCGUAGGCGCUUUGUUGCGUCGGCUGUGAAAUCCCGAGGCUCAACCUCGGGUCUGCAGUCGAUACGAGCAAACUAGAGUGUUGCAGGGGAGACUGGAAUUCCUGGUGUAGCGGUGAAAUGCGCAGAUAUCAGGAGGAACACCGGUGGCGAAGGCGGGUCUCUGGGCAACAACUGACGCUGAGGAGCGAAAGCGUGGGGAGCGAACAGG